GCGGAGAUAGUCUAGUUCGGUAGGGCGGUUGACUGCAGAUCAACAUAUCACGAGUUCAAAUCUCGUUCUUCGCU
rnacentral:tRNA from 1 species